CUGACAAAUACGCUCAUAGGAUACUAGAGGUGGACAUCACUACUGGAAGAGCCUUUCUCCAAGUAACUAUCAUCAAACUGAGUUUCACUAGCUAAAAAGUGUCCUCAAAGACCUCCGAGACUGUACCUGCUGUAGCAGAGGUCAUACCUGGCAGUGGUGGGAGCAGAAGAGGAUGUGGUACCAGGGAUCAUACUCAGGCCGGUGUUCUACCCCUGGCCUGAGUGUUCCUGAAAAACCAACGAGGGCAGAAUGACUGGCUGCAGACAUCCACUCCCCUGUGCUGCGUCUCAGAUACAGCCCUCACAGGCCCUGAGGAAUGUGCAUUUUAGGGCUUACAAAUUGGCAGAUUUUAUCAGCACAACAGAGAGGACACUUUCACAUUCUUCAGGAGAGGAUUUGAGGUGAAUCUCUUAGUCUAUGGCUGGCUUAAAUACUGACCCACCCUUCCUUCCUCCCUUCCUUUGUUCUCUCAUUUUUUCUCAUACUUACUGACAAAAGAAGCCAAUGAAUCCCAGACAUGAAGUGGUAUUUGCAAUCUUCCUGUAUACCAGAGAGACACUCACCAGAAGGGGAAAAAGCAAUGCAACGCUCUUCCUCCACUGGGUGAAGGCAGUUCUACUGCUAAGAUCAAUUAGAACUGCUUCAGAGAAUUCCUCAAAGAUGGAGUCUGGACUACGAUAAAAGCCGUAAAAUCAAAUGGAUGAAAAAAAUCAGUAAGCUAGCAAUGGAGGAAGAGACAGUACAGAAAAAGUGGAAUAAUCAAUGACCUUGGAGAUUUCAGACAAAUUGGAUUUUCUAUUGAAGACAGGGAUAUAAAUAGCCCAAACACAACACAGACGCUGGAACAAAAGCGACCAACUCAACUUUUUGUUUGGAAACUUGUCAGGCCUAGAGAACUGUUCAGAUUACAGCUGCUAAUGGUUAUGCAUUUGGCAAUCAAAAUGUCUUUGCAAAAUAAAAAAGUUUUAACUGCCUUA